rnacentral:tRNA from 1 species
UCAUUGUUAGUAUAGUGGUGAGUAUCCCCGCCUGUCACGCGGGAGACCUGGGUUCGAUUCCCCGAAGGGGAG